AGGGGUACAACCAUAGGCGAUUCUAGUUUUUAAAACUGGGGGUGCAAAGGGUAGUGAUUUAAUUGUUUACAUUUUUGCUUAAAAAAUAUUGUCAGAAUUAAUACUAGAUCUUAAAUGUAUAAUUAAUCAUUAGAGAACAACAAACCAAAUGCAUCCCCUGCACCCGUGGUAAAAUCGCCUAUGGGUACAACUGACUGUAUUGUCAUGUUCAGACUAUUGGCAUAAUCCAUAUUCAGUCUUUAUUACCACUCCGUUUCUUUUUAAUAACUUGUGAUGGUACAUGCUGAAAAUACUUUUCAUAUAUCCAAAUAUACCCAACAUUAAACAUUUACAAUGUCAAAUGUUUUUGUGUUAGUCAUUGACUGUUAUUACUACCAUUACUGUUUUAAUAAGCUAUGAAUAAAUCAUAAGGCUGGAUCUACCUAUUCUGCAAUCUCCCUUAGAGAAUAUAUAAUAAGUUUAUGCUAUGGUGCAUGCUAUCAUUAAUAUUUCAGACUUCUGAGGUGCUUUUACAGUAUGCGUAUAACUUGAAGAUAAUUUGCCUGUGCACCAGCAAAAUAAAGUCCAAAUGUACACAGUUGAGCAUUUCAAGAUGGCACACUGGCACACUGGGGACCAGUCUCAGAGUAGACUAUUGUCAUUUCCUCUAUGAAGAAGUGUAUUGACUGCAGCAUCUAUUUGAGGAACACAUCAUACAUCUUCAUGUUAACCCUCGGAACAUUGAAAUCAAAACUCAAGAUAUUUCAUGGCAACAAUCCAUUUUCACAUCCAUACCUCUUUUAAAAUGAUUCUGCACUUGUUAGUAUCGCAUAGAUAGAAACAAUUCAAACUGAUACAAAGCAGGAGUUUUUAAUUAGAAAUCAAAUCCUUAUUGGCACUACAGUCAUACAUUUCAAACAUAAUUCACUAUAUGCAUAAUGUCUAAUUGUUGUAAUUCACACUGAACUGUUUGGCAUUCCUCAUUGAAUUAGGUAAUUAAUCUACAGUAUGAAAGUAGUCUUCAAGUCUAAAAUAUUUUUAUGUACAAUUUUUAGCUAAGUGUAAGAACAAAAUGUUAUUUCUCUCAAAUUAUCAAUCAUAUCUUGUUUCACCAUUAUCAAUAUUACCCAUGAAAACACACAUACUUUCUAAAACAAGUAAAUUGCAAUUAUAAUCGAAAAAUGCAUUGAAACAAAAUUGAAUAACCCAUCUCUUUUGCACUUAUUUGCAAACUGUUUUGCAGAAUUACUGCAAUGGAAACAACCCAUAAUGGCAUUUAUAAAUUUCUUGUGCUACACCAUUUUCUAACAUGCUAAUCUUGUUUUUACUAUUGGGAAGGGUCCUUACAGGAACCAUACAAUUGUGGCAUUUCGAGUUUCACAAAACUAUUCUCAAGAAAUUACACAUCAGGACAGAUGUUCAGGCUGAAGUUAAACAUUGAUGCAACAAUAACCCAAAUUAAAUCAGCCCACAUUUCAUAGUAUGUCGAAAGCCUUAUGUAAAAAGGAGGCAUGAGGACAUUAAAGAACACAUAUAUCUGUGCUUUGACUACAGAAAAGUACAUUUGGUUCUGAAUGGAUGGCAGGCCUUUCUGGAUUAUUGUCUUUAAACCUUGAUAAGAAAAAGUGCUUGUCAAGUUAGGUACAGAUUGGGUAUAGAUAUCUGACGCGCAACAAUCCAUAACACACUGUUGUGUUCCCCACCAUUUCAUCAGAACGUGGGAUUAAUAAAACCAAAAAAUGAAGACAGGUUAGACAACAUGAGGGGCUGAGCAGAUUAAGGGACUAUUGGGAUGCUUAUCUAUUCCGGCACCAUACAUUUUGGUGCUUUUACAACAUCCAAUUUUUUGUUUUACCGUUUUAAUACUUCACCAUUCAUGUGUCUACUGUGAAUUACAUUCUAAAAACAUUGAUCUCAUUUUAUUAAUCUACAAGUGUAUGUACACCAAUGAGCCAAAACAUUAUGACUAUACGCAUAAGCGAAGUGAGUGACGUCAUCAUCUUCUAACAAGGGCACAUGAGGUCAUGGUCUGGGUAUAUUAGAUGGUAAGCAAACAAUCAGUUCUUGUAGUCAUCAUGUUGGAUGCAGGAGAAAUGGGUAAAAACCUGAGAGACUUUGACAGGGGCCAAAUCAUGGCCAGAAAACUGGGUCAGAGCAUCUCACAAAAGCCAAAGCUUAUGGUGUGCUCCUGGUCAGACAUGGUACCUACAGACAGUGGUCCAAGGAGGGACAAACUACUUUUAGUUAAUAGAGGAAUGUGUCACAACAGAGUGCAUUGCCUCCAUGUGUCGACGGGUCUGCACUGUUUUGGCGGCACAUGAAGGACCAACAGCAUAAUUAUGUGGCUCAUCGGUGUGGGUACAUUUGUGUAGAUUGAACUGCCGGAUUGAGAAA